rnacentral:rRNA from 1 species
UGCGUAGGUGGUUAUUUAAGUCAGAUGUGAAAUCCCUGGGCUUAACCUAGGAAUUGCAUAUGAUACUGGAUAACUGGAGUGCGGUAGAGGGAAGUGGAAUUUCCGGUGUAGCGGUGAAAUGCGUAGAUAUCGGAAGGAACAUCAGUGGCGAAGGCGACUUCCUGGACCGUUACUGACACUGAGGCACGAAAGCGUGGGGAGCGAACA